rnacentral:rRNA from 1 species
GACGUAGGGCGCGAGCGUUGUUCGGAAUUACUGGGCGUAAAGGGUUCGUAGGCGGUGCGGCAAGUUGGGAGUGAAAUCUCUAGGCUCAACCUAGAGACGGCUUCCAAAACUGCUGUGCUUGAGUGUGAGAGAGGCUCGUGGAAUUGCAGGUGUAGCGGUGAAAUGCGUAGAUAUCUGCAGGAACACCCGUGGCGAAAGCGGCGAGCUGGAUCACUACUGACGCUGAAGAACGAAAGCUAGGGGAGCAAACAGG